rnacentral:misc_RNA from 1 species
UGUGGGAGCGGGCUUGCUCGCGAAAGCGGUGGGUCAGUCAGCCAAUAUGUUGCUGACACUCCCACUUCGCGAGCAAGCCCGCUCCCACA